UGCCAAGUUCCCGUGGAGUCUCAGUG
rnacentral:misc_RNA from 1 species